GACGAACGCUGGCGGCGUGCCUAAUACAUGCAAGUCGAACGAGAGCACCCGGUGCUUGCACUGGUCAAUCUAGUGGCGAACGGGUGAGUAACACGUGGGUAACCUGCCCAUCAGAGGGGGAUAACAUCCGGAAACGGAUGCUAAAACCGCAUAGGUCUUCGAACCGCAUGGUUUGAAGAGGAAAAGAGGCGCAAGCUUCUGCUGAUGGAUGGACCCGCGGUGCAUUAGCUAGUUGGUGAGGUAACGGCUCACCAAGGCCGUGAUGCAUAGCCGACCUGAGAGGGUGAUCGGCCACAUUGGGACUGAGACACGGCCCAAACUCCUACGGGAGGCAGCAGUAGGGAAUCUUCCGCAAUGGACGCAAGUCUGACGGAGCAACGCCGCGUGAGUGAAGAAGGUUUUCGGAUCGUAAAACUCUGUUGUUAGAGAAGAACAAGUGCUAGAGUAACUGUUAGCGCCUUGACGGAAUCUAACCAGAAAGCCACGGCUAACUACGUG
rnacentral:rRNA from 1 species